CAGUUUUUUUCGAUUGCUUAAACACUAAAAUCCAAAGUAUGACACUAUUAUCAAAACCUUACACUCAAGGAUCAUAACAUGAGCCCAGAUCUGCACCACUAUAAGCACAAUGUCAGCUUCACACUUUUUGCAAAACAAUACACAGUGAUUUACUAAACACACUUAACAUACAUUACACACAAAAAUCUAUCAUGAAGUCACGUCCUUGCAAUACCAAAGCACUGACUGUCAAAUUACCACACCGUCCAACCAAUUGGUUCAACACAGUCAUCAGGUGUGCAAACACUUGUUUGCUUAAUUGCAGACACAACAAUCAGGUGUGUAAGCACUAUAAAAAGCAGUAGGUGAGUUCAGCGUUCUCCAAGCACAAUGGAAAGAGUCAGAGAAAGAGUAAGACGACGACGACGACGACGACGACGAGGAGGUGGAGGAGGACGGGGAGAACGAGGAGGAAGAGGAAGACAAGAAGGUGCUCAAAGAGGACCGAAUCUGACAAAUGAGAUCCGCGCAACACUGGUUGACCACGUUGUCAACCAAGGCCUGACGCUGAGGGAGGCUGGACUGCGAGUACAGCCAAAUCUAAGCCGAUAUACAGUGGCAAGUGUGAUGAGAACAUUUCGACUGGAAAAUAGGAUUGAGGGUCAGGGACGACAAGGGGGAAGGCCUCCUAUGUUCACAGAACAGCAAGAGAGGGAGAUAGUAAACAUGGUUUUGGCCAACAAUGCUAUAACACUCAAGCAGCUCCAAGCUAACAUUGUCAAUAACCACGCCAUUUUCAAUGAUAUCCAUCAGGUCUCAACAUCAACACUGGCACGCAUCCUAAAAAAGAAACAUAUUCAAAUGAAGCAAAUUUAUCGAGUGCCUUUCGAGCGCAAUUCCGAAAGGGUAAAACGACUGCGGCAUGAUUAUGCAGAGGUAUGUAUUCACUUUAGCAGUGUGAUCUUGCAUACUGUCUCAGUUUUUUACUGUACUGUAAUAUGUAUACUAGAUCUACACUGAACGACACAAUUUUGCCGGACACUGUUUUUCAGAGUUUUACGAAUGGAUGGAGAGGAGAUCCAGCAUGAGUUCAUUUACGUAGAUGAGGCUGGGUUCAACCUGACGAGAACACGAAGGAGGGGAAGAAACAUCAUUGGCCACAGGGCUAUAGUCAAUGUCCCAGGGCAACGUGGGGGUAAUAUAACACUCUGUGCAGCCAUUACACAGAAUGGGGUCCUCCACCGCCAUGCCCAUAUGGGCGCUUACAACACAGCACUCAUGCUUGCAUUCUUGGACCAAUUGCGCAA